GACGUAGGGAGCGAGCGUUGUCCGGAUUCAUUGGGCGUAAAGCGCACGUAGGCGGAUUUGUAAGUCAGGGGUGAAAUCCCGGGGCUCAACCUCGGAACUGCCUUUGAUACUGCAAAUCUCGAGUCCGGAAGAGGUGAGUGGAAUUCCUAGUGUAGAGGUGAAAUUCGUAGAUAUUAGGAAGAACACCAGUGGCGAAGGCGGCUCACUGGUCCGGUACUGACGCUGAGGUGCGAAAGCGUGGGGAGCAAACAGG
rnacentral:rRNA from 1 species